UUUCAGAUUACUGCAUGUGAUGCUCUCUCAUGUCCGCUGUGUUUUCCCAGUUCUACAUCUCAGAAUUCACAUCAUUCUUUGCUAAGCUUACAUUCAGAAGUAAAAUCCACUUAUAGAGAAAUAUACUGGAGACAAAUCUUUAGUCUGUGUGUGUUGAUCAAACAAAUCGAACCAAGGGUUGAAGCCAAGGGCGGAGCCAUUAAGAGAAAAUUUUCAUUUCUCAAUUGGGAAUAUUAUAUUUUUCACUCAAUAUUUGCUAUUUUGACUCCACAAUAGAGCUCCUAAUUUGACAUGCAUUGCUAUUGUUAUAGUUUUGGACCCUUCAUAAAUUGCUAAAUUCGUAAACAAGUUGAACCGAUUGUCACCAUUCCCUUACCUUAGCGUUGUAAAAAGGGAGCAGAAGAAAAUGUAAGAAGCACAUGCAAGUUAGGUAUUCAAACUUAUUAUUUAUAAAUUGUGUCUUUAACUUUUAGAGAAACUUUUGACAAUCAAUGGCAUAUUGCAGAAAAUAAUUAUGACAUGUGAUACAUUUUUAAUAUGUGUGAGUACUGAGGACUAUACAAAUAGUCAAUAAGUGUUGCCCAUUGAGUUUAUAGACAGUUUAGGUUACAGUGCACCUCUAGUAGACUGGGUACCCAUGCAUGCUUUACCCAUGCCUUCAUUCUAAUUCCUAACUAUUGGGGUCAGUGAUCGCAAUUCCUUCUUUUCUGUCCAGGCUUCCAGCACGUCUAGGGUAAUCUUGAGGUGUUAGGUUUGGACCUUAGGGCAGCCACGUUGUGCAUAUAACGGUUAAGGUUGGGAAUAUACCAGGUGUAGUUUCUUGUAUGCUGCAUUGUGCAAAUUUUGGAUCGGGGCAGAAAUGUAGAUUCACUAGAUUGUGACACUUGUUUUGUGUUUUUUUUCUCAUCAGGUAAUUAUUUUCUAAUAAUUCAAAACAGAUUCUUUGAUCAAAUGCAAUGUAUAUGUCUCUAUUCGCCUAUAGGGAUGUCUCGAACUGAAAACUUCAAAUAUUGUUGUUGCGAAUGUCUAAAUAUUCAUAAUAACUUAUCAAGUAGGGACAAUAUCCAAACUUAUGCCAACCAAUAAGAACUGUUUCCUCUUACUAAGUACCCAUGAAUAUGCCACAUGUCUCACAUGCAUGUCAUGUUGCAUGAUAGAUCUGUUUAGUGAUUGAAUAGAAGUUAUCGGUGAAUCAAAUUGAACAAUUAGAAAACUGCGGGAUGCAAUUGAAAAAAAAAAACUAAUUAAAGGAUAAAGUAAAAAUUAGAGCA